rnacentral:lncRNA from 1 species
UGCGCGGCCUCUCCGUCCAACGUGCUCGUUGCCGGCAUCUCCAGCGCCCGGCCGUGCCCCGACGGCCUGACCUGGAUCACUUCCUGGCCGCCUCCCUGUCCGGCGGCUCCCCUCGGUCCGGCUCCCACUUCCCCGUCCAGGAUGCUGGCUCCGAAGCAACAUCUGUGGUCGCGCGGGACCCAUCCCAGGACCUCCCCGGAACGCGCCGGGAUGGGACGCUCGGACCCAGACCACAGCCCCCGGCCGCGGCAGGGCGCCGGGAUUUGAUCCCGCGUCGCCCUGGGGGGACAGAAGCGUCCCGGAGUUGGGAGGGGAUUUGAAGCCUAUGGUCCUGACUUCCACCCCGUGGCUGAGGGCGAGGCUGCGGGGCCGGGGUUAGGAGCAGAAGUCCCUAUUUCCGAACCGUCUGGGAGGAGAGCCGGGGGAUGCCCAUCACGGCAGUUUAGGGAGAGAGAGGGAAGGACUCUGCCGCUUUGGAGGCUAGGUCAUAGGCAGCUGGCGGUGUCUCAGCGCGAGUGACCAAUCCUUGUGGUUGGGAAAUGUGUCGUGGGCGUCCGUGGGCUCGUUUUGCCUUUGAGAUUAAAUAGGAAAUUUUCCCAGGACGAGUUUACCGGAGCACCUUGGGAGUUGGUUUUUGGCUUGGAGAGCUACUUUCCCCUCUCUAAAUCUAAAACUGCUUUGUUUUUCCUUAUUAUUUUUUUCGAGAUGGGAUCUCACAAUGUUACCCAGGCAGGUGUCAAACUCCUGGCCUUAAGCGAUCCUCCCGCCUCGGCCUCCCAGAGUGCUGGGAUUAGAGACGUGAGCCAUUGCGCGGCUUUAACUGCUGUUAGUCUGUUCCUUAAAAUUGUUGUACCAGGAAACUUGCCAGAGAUGCAAGAAGAUGUGAUUAUAUUGUUAACAUUUAAUGAUAAAUAACAUUUUGCUUUUAAGAGUUACUGAUUCAUAUCCUCAAGAUUAAGAAAUGUUCAGGAUAUGAAUAUUUAAUGACCUUUCCAAUCAGUCAGUUUCUGCUCUCUAGAAGUUAGCCAGUUGAGGAGAAGGGACAGUCAAGAUACUUUCAGAACAGUGUGGUAAGGAGUGUGAGCUAAGAUGGAGCACCGAGGAAGGAGCCGGGCAUUUAGGCCAUGCUGUUGGGUGUGGAGCCUGGAAGGGAUCGGGGAAUACUUUCUGCAUGUGUCUUGAAGAAUGAGUAACAUUCAGACUAACAGGGUGGAGUGAGGGAGAGGGGGGAACCAAAGGAGGGGAGGCCAGUAACUACAAGGAGGUGCUUAUUUAUUUAUUUAUUUAUUUAUUUAUUGAGAGAGAGGGUCUCACUUUGUCACCCAGGCUGGAGUACAGUGACACGAUCACGAGUCACUGAAGUCUCAACUGCCUGGGCUCAAGUGAACCUCCCACCUCAACCUCCCGAGUAGCUGAGACUGCAAAUGGGUGCCGCCACACCCAGCUGAUUUUUAAAGAUUUUGUAAAGAUGUUGUCUUGCUGCGUUGCCCACGCUGGUCUUGAAUUCCUGGACUCAAGCCAUUCUCCCGCCUCAAGUGUCCCAAUGUGCUGAAAUUACAGGCAUCGGCUCCCGAGCCUGGAGGGUGGUUAUUAAAGAGAAAAAGUACAGGACAGAGAUACAGGAGCUUAGGCUUUAAUCUGAUGGUGACAGAACCAGGGAAGGGUUUUUAGCUGGGUCCUUAUGUGGUUAAAAUGGGUCUCCCUGGCUAGCUGCGGUGGCUUAUGCCUGUAAUCCCAGCACUUUGGGAGGCCGAGGCGGUUGGAUCACGAGGUCAGGAGUUCAAGACCAGCCUGACCAACAUGGUGAAACCCCGUCUCUACUAAAAACACAAAAAUUAGAUGGGCAUGAUGGCGCCUACCUGUAAUCCUAGCUACUCAGGAGGCUGAGGCAGGAGAAUUACUUGAACCCAGGAGGCGGAGGUUGUCUGAACCGAGGUUGCACCAGUGCACUCCAGCCUGGGCAACAGUGCAAGACUUCGUCUCAAACAAAACAAAACAAAACAAAACAAAAACAAGAAAAGGUCUCUAUCUGUCGUCCAGGUUGGAAUGCAAUGGCAGGAACACAGCUAACUGCAACCUCUACCACCCAGGCUUAAGUGAUUCUCUUGUCUCAGCCUCCCAAGUAGCUGGGAACACAGGCUUCCCACCUAGUAAUUUAGCCUGAUUGGCUAAAUUUUUUGUUUGUUUGUUUUUGAUACUGAGUCUCACUCUGUCAGCCAGGCUGGAGUGCAGUGGCCUGAUCUUGGCUCACUGCAAGCUCCGCCUCCAGGGUUCAUGCCAUUCUCCUGCUUCAGUCUCCCGAGUAGCUGGGACUGCAGGCACCCGCCACCAUGCCUGGCUAAUUUUUUGUAUUUUUAGUAGGGACGGGGGUUUCACCAUGUUAGCCAGGAUGGUCUCGAUCUCCUGACCUCGUGGUCUGCCCGCUUCGGCCUUCCAAAGUGUUGGGAUUACAGGCGUGAGCCACUGUAUCUGGCCUAAAUUUUUUUGUAGAGAUGGAAUCCCUAUAUGUUUCCCAGGGUGGUCUCCAACCCCUGGCCUCAAGUGAUUCUCUAGCCUUGGACUCCCAAAGUGUUGGGAUUACAAACAUGAGCCACUGCACCCGGCCUUAAAAUGGAAUUUUAUGUAGCUCUUACGUACAGGCUGCUAUAUAGCUGAUAAGGACAAAUGUUUUCAGUAUAGUGCUGGAUUAUUUGCUUUUUUUUUUUUUUUUUUUUGAGAUGGAGUCUUGCUCUGUCGCUGGGCUAGAGUGCAGUGGUUUGAUCUUGGCCACUACAACCUCCACCUCCUGGGUUCAAGUGAUUCGCCUGCCUCAGCCUUCUGAGUACCUGGGAAUAUAGGCACUCGCCACCAUGCCCAGCUAAUUACUUCUGUCUUGUAUUUUAAUCUUCUCUGCUCUUUAG